UUUGAUCUACGGAAACCAGUAAGUAGAUUGCCGCGUGGAGACGAAACAGCGACGUGAAGAGAGCAGGAACUCUAAAUCUUCGUCCUCCAGUUUCUGGAGCGAUUGAGGAAGCUUUUCUACUUCAAAUUCUUUCGAUUCAUUUCUGCUUCUCAUAGUUCCUUCCGUCUCAAUCUCUCUGGUUUAUCGACUUUUGAAGAUCGAGAGAGGAUUCUUGUUGCUUAGCGUCAACAAUGUUUAACAGGCUUUUUGGUAAACCUAAACAAGAAGCCAAUGCUUUGGCUACGUUAGAGAAGCUAAGCGAGACGCUUGAAAUGCUGGAGAAGAAAGAGAAUGUUCUUGUAAAGAAGGCAUCUGCAGAGGUUGAAAAAGCUAAAGAGUUCACAAGAGUGAAGAAUAAACGAGCGGCCAUACAAUGUUUGAAGAGAAAGAGACUCUACGAACAGCAAGUAGAGCAGCUUGGAAAUUUUCAAUUGCGUAUCCACGAUCAGAUGAUUAUGUUAGAAGGCGCUAAAGCUACGACGGAAACUGUCGAUGCUUUGAGAACAGGAGCAUCGGCAAUGAAGGCAAUGCAGAAAGCAACAAAUAUUGAUGAUGUGGACAAAACGAUGGAUGAGAUUAAUGAGCAGACGGAGAAUAUGAAACAGAUACAGGAAGCGCUAUCAACUCCAAUUGGUGCCGCAGCUGACUUCGACGAGGAUGAAUUGGAGGCGGAACUUGAAGAGCUGGAAAGUGCGGAGUUGGAAGAGCAACUUCUCCAACCGGCGUCAACAACUCCUGCUGCGCCCGUUUCCGUCCCGUCAGGCCGAGUACCUGCACGCCCUGUUCCUCAGAAGAGAAAUGCUGAAGAAGACGAACUCGCAGCUCUGCAAGCGGAGAUGGCCCUCUAAUCAGAUUGUGCCAUCCAAGGAAGCUUACGAUGGGCGUUCGUUCAAAAUUGCAUACGACCUAUAAUUCCAUGCCGCGUGAAGUGUAUAUAAAGAACGCGAAAUAACUGUAAUCAUCCUUUAAAUCUUUUACUUAUCUAUACUCUAAAUUGCAGGGAAUGCAAACAUUGUGGUCAUUUUAAAUUUAAUUUAAUAAUUUUAUUCAUUUCUA